AAGGAAGACAGGAAAGGGAAGCCGUUGGUGGGCCCCCUGAAGCACCUCCUCUUCCCACGUUCCUGGGAAGGGCAACGGAGGAGGGAGGAGGCAGCCUCAAAUCCUCUCAGUUACCAAUCGUGCCCAUUCCCUGGUGUGUUCCCUUCAGCCUUGCAAAGCGUGGACAGAGAAACACUAACUUCUGCCCACAAAGGGUGUGGCAGAAGACACGAGCGGCCCUGAGGAGUAUUUAUGGGCUGUCCCAUGGGUGUUCUCAGGUUUCCCCGACAGUCCCAAGGUGAAGCAGCCAUUUCCCAUCUGCCAUUAAUCUUGCAAACAAACGCCUGAAGUGGCCCCAGGUGGGAGUUUUCCUAUUAAUUAAUUGUGGCUUCAGAACUGAGUUCAGAGCCCAUUAGGCAGGGCCCUUGCAGGUGGCCGGCGCUACGUGCAGCUCGCCGUGGCCCUGGCUUACCGAGGAGCCUGGCAUGCUGCAGUCCAUGAGGUCGCAAACAGUCAGACACAACUGAACCACUGAACAACAACUGCCACGCUGAGCUGUGAUCCAUCGCUAACAGCCCAGGCUUCUAUAGGACACACACUGGUUGGCUUAUCUGCUCACUUCCCAACUCAAGAAGGCCAAUGGGCAUCUGUUGAUGUCUCGUUGCUACUGUUCCAGCCAUCACUCUGAGUACAUCAUCACGUCUCCCUCCACGUCUCAGGAUAUCUGCUCGGCGCCUCGUCUUGCAAAUGUCCCCUUCAUGUCUCAGGGCCUUCUCCAAAGCUCUACCGUGAGGCAUCCUCAUUUGUUCAACCAACCAAUGAACCAACCAACCAUCUCAUCAAUCAUCUUAUUAAUGAACUGACCAUCUAACUGGGAAACCAAACACACAACCCAGAUAAUGGAACCACCAACCAUCAACCAACAGGCUAAUCAGUCAACUAAUCAACCAAUUAGCCAACUGAUCAGUGAACAAGUCAACAAGCCAACCAACUACUCAACCAUUCAAUGAGCAACGAAUGACUCAUCCAAUCCCACAAACCAACCAACCGAAUGACUGCUAAUCAACAAAUGAAGAAAAAUUUACUAGUUUUGGGCAAAUCCUCAAAACAAGACUGGCCCAGGGCAAGGGGUAUCUGCCUCCGGUUGGGGUUUCAGCAACUCUCCUGCUUAAGGAACCUCAGCUUUGCACUACCUCCCUGGGUAACCCAGGGCCAGACAUUAUCCCUUCCGAGGCUGACUACAGUUUGGCCAGCUGGGUUCCUGGGGGCACAGGCUUCCAUGCAAGGGCCCUGGGGCUCCCUUGGAAGGCAAGAGGUAGCCGUGUAGGCAGGGACUAGGACUGUCAUCUCUGCUUUCACCUUGUAUCUGUCUUGUGCAUUGGAACUUUGUGUAAGACUUUAUAUGAAAAAGUCUUGGAUGUUUUAAAAGCCAUUUUUAAAUGUUUAAAAACCAUUGCAUUGGUUUUCAGCUGUAAGGGGGCUGUUCCGUUGUGGUUGUAGGGAAGGCUCGAAGGAGACCCUGGGCUCCAGACCUAGGGUUUCCAGGAAGAACUUGUGGGUUAGCAGUGAUUUCCUUGGUUGGAAAGCACAGAGGCAGCCCUCUGUAUCUCUGGAGGACGUGUGACUGCCGAGUUCGGGGACACGGCAGCUGGGAACCCGAUGUACUUAAAAGCAUUCAGAGACCACAUAGCAGUGAAUCGCUGAGUAUAAACAACCACUAAAUGCAUCUCCUCACUCGUUCCCAAGCGCAGCUGCUUACCACGAUACAACGUGCCGUUGCAGUUCGUAAACAGCCGAGGCAGGGCAUGGGAGGGCCUCCGAUUCGGCAUCCAUAGGAGCUGACUCCAAAGCCUCCGAUCCCAGGCAGCAGCUGCCCUUCUGCCUGGUUCUCGAGUUGCCCCUGCGGGAGGGACACAGAGCCAGGGCGUACAUCACAACGGCCCGUGGACCAGCCCCCAGAGGCCCGGAGUGGGCCGUGCAGCUGGGACUCCCCAGGUACUCCAACUAAGCCCCCUUAAAGUGAAAAGGCAGCCAAAGAGUUCCUAAGGCUCCUACUGGGGCAGAGAAAGCCAGGCAUCAAGGGCUCAGGCGUUGGGCUGAAUCCGAACUUGCUGCGAGACCCCGGACAGGUCACUUUGUCUUUCUGAGCCUCUAUUUUUCCUCUUCUGUGUAAAAUGGGGCUGGCCAGAGGUUACCACUGAGAGGCCGCAACUAAGACAAAGCGCAAAUAAACAGAGACUUUUUAAAGAGUAGGAUGCCUCUUCCUUUACUGGGAUCCUCACUCUCCAGAUGAACCAACUGGCUGAGCAGGGAGACUUUGACGGGAGUGGGGCAUGUAAUUCAGGUUUCUAAGUCCACGUCUCUUUCCAUAACCCCACGUUGGGCUGCAAGCUGCAGGCCCGCGAGCCUUGUAGUCGUCUAGCCUCGAGACCGAAGAAAGAGCCCGGAGACAGGGACAGGGACAUCCACGGUCCGUCGGACAGAAGACCUUACAUGUCCGAAGCCAGGUCUUGGAGCAACACACCACUGUCUGCGGCAGGCGGUGACUGCUACGGGGCCAUCAUCUUCACCACUGAGGGCGGGGCGAGGGAAUGCUAUCGCUUAUAGGGGGGAACUGACGUCAGCUAGGUUACCAGGGCAACCAGUCGCUUGGACACGUGCUGCUCACAGUCCCUCAGGUUAACGACCAUCUCGAGGGCAGGUGUUUCCUAUUAGUAAACUAGUAGGUGGAGCCUUUCGGGGCUAAGGAUUAGAACCCGCACUAGCUGGGGCAGGGGGCAGGCACAGGCUGGGGGACCGGAGAAGGUGCCGGUGAAGCAGGGGCGGGUUGAGCAGGGGAGGUACAGAGAACAGGAGAACCACCACCUUGAAUAGCCUGACCAUACACCCUAGGUUGUUUUUUUGUUCUCCCUCUGGGUGUUUAUUUUCCAGGUAAAAUAGGGUCAGUUGUGACUGUGAAAGCUUGGGUCUAUUGUUCAUUCGCUUAGAUGCGUCCAACUCUUUGUGACUCCAUGGAAUGCAGCAACCCAGGCUUCCCUGUCCAUUACUAUCUCCCGGAGCUUGCUCAAAUUCACGUCCAUUGAGUCGGUGAUGCCAUCCCACCAUCUCAUCCUCUGUCCUCCCCUUCUCCUCCUGCCUUCGAUCCUUCCCAGCAUCAGGGUCUUUUCGAGUGAGUCCGGUCUUCGCAUCAGGUGGCCAAAGUACUGGAGCUUCAGCAUCAGCAUCAGUCCUUCCAAUGAAUAUUCAGGGUUGAUUUCCUUGCAGUCCAAGGGACUCACAAGACUCUUCUCUAGUACCACAGUUUGAAAGCAUCAGUCUGCUUCUGUCCAAACACCCAGGGAUGACUCUGGGGGCCUCUUGAUCCACUCAGCACACUCCCUGACUUCUUAGCAAUGCCUCCUACCCCAGCAGGGUGCGGGUUGAGAUCUUUCUUGGGUUCAUCAAACAUCCCCAGCUCAUCUGCCCACUGAUCCGAGGGGCUAUCAUUUAUCCCAAAGCAUCACCGGGAGUUUCUGAUUUAUUGGUGACGGGUCAGCUGUGUUCUUUAGGCAGUUUAUGGCCGUGCCAUUAAAUUUUCAGAGAUUAAGAGCAUGAUGGGAAAGAUAAAUGUAGUGAUUCUGGGGAUCCUGGGAGACCAGUUCCUAGGAGAGGCCCCCAUACCCCUUCAUGCUCACAUCACGAGUCCCUUUUUGCUGCUUUCAUGAUGAAAGGCAUCCUGUGAGGAGGAGAUUUGCUCCCAGAACAGGAGGGCCAUUCCUGGAGUUAUAGGGUAGUCUCAUGCUAGAAUCAUGAAUAUCUGAAUCAGAGAAUCACAGAUGGUUAGAGCAAGAUGAGCUCUUAAACCCACGUAGUCCAGCCCUCUCAUUUUACUGAUGAAGAAGCUGAGGUCCCAGGUGGGGAAGUGGCCUAACCAGGAGCAUUCAACCAGAAGGCUGUAUCUUGACUCUAUUUUUCCAGUCCCCCUCUUGUGGCUCCAGGAUGCUCUUCUUCUAGAG
ensembl:lncRNA